rnacentral:rRNA from 1 species
CUCCCUCUCACAGUCGCUGCACCGUUGUGUCCUGCGGCAGCUGCAGAGGGGUGGGCAGAUGCAAAGGACGACAGCGGCGGCGCGUAGGAGAGAGAAGAUGAGAGGGAGAGAGAGAAGGAGAGGAGGGAGAAAGAGAGGAAGAGGAUAGGAGGCAAGGCGUCGGAUGUGAGAGAGCAGGGGAGGGCCAAGAGGCCAGCGGUGUGGGCUGGAGCUGAGAGGCCGGAGACCCGGGCGGCGGACGCCUCACGAGGUGGCGGAGAGGCCGGCGAUAGGGAAGGAGCAAAAUCGUCAUGGAUCUGUAGGGAAGGUGAGGUCCUGACGGCUGAAGAUGGUGCGCAGCCGGCGACGCGUCCUCCCCGCUCUCGCUCGCUCGCAUCGUCUUCGAGAUCGCGGGCUCGGCGCACCUCUGGUCGUGCCGCCGCGAGUAUGUCCGCCUCUGGUGGGAUCCCGCCUCCAUGCGCGGCCACGUCUGGCUCGACGCUAGCGCGCCCGGCGCGCCGGGGCCCAGCGCUGCCGGGGAGGACUAGCUCCUGCCGAUCCGGGUGUCCGAGGACACCUCGCGCUUCCGGUACACCAACCCGACGGGCCACCCUUCUGGGCUCCGGAUCACGCGCAUCGCUGCCGAGGCCGUGCGGCUUGUGGGAGGCGGGGGCGCGCGGUGGGUGGUGCUCGUGGACGACGACACCGUGCUGUCCCCGGACAACCUGGUGGUGUGCUCGGGAAGUACGACUGGAGGGAGAUGGUGUACGUCGGGGCCUCGUCGGAGAGCCACUCGGCCAACACCUAUUUCAGCCACGGCCCCUCGCCGCUGUGCUCGCGCGGACACUCGACGUGUGCAUCGAGAGGUACCCCAGGCUGUAUGGAAGCGACGACCGCCUCCAUGCUUGCAUCACGGAGCUUGGCGUACCCCUUUCGCGCGAAUAUGAAUUCCAUCAUGUAUGUUUGGGUGUUCAUAUUUUUGAUAGACAAACACUAAUAGGUGCACUUGACUGUUUGAGGAAAUGCCAACUGAAAGCGAAAUUCAGUUAGAACUAGCCUUUUGCAUGUGUGUUCUUGAUGCUUCAUGUACGACCACAUAGUAGGGACGCAAUAAAUAUUUCUUAGCUAGGUUGCUUGCCUAAUGAAGCUCCCAUGUGGACCAUUUACUCCUCUGUGUUAUUGGAAUUUGUUUGCGGUGUUUGCUCAGGCUGAAGAAAUUCAUGUCGUUUUCCUUCAUUUAUUUUCUUUUAUGAGUAAGUACUACUCCCUCCGUCCGGGAAAAGUUGUCUUCAUGGUCUUUUUCUGAAAACACCCCCAGUGAAUUCCCGACAAACCCGCAGCUCCCCGUCGUCUCCCCCGCCCCUCUGUCGUGCUCCCUCGCGCCUCGGCAGCUCGGCUCCUCCGCAGCCCCCCGCAGGUCCCCGCGUCGCCGGAGCUCUCCUGCCCCAAGCCUCCCCCACCCCACGCCUCCCCCACCCCACGCCUCCCCCGCAGCUUCCCUCUCCUUGUUCCCCUCCUCUUUCCCCGUGGUGAUCCACGGCGAGGAGAAGGCUCGAUUUUUCUUCGAUCUACUCGGCGGCGGCCAUUUCCAGGUCCUCCUCCUCGGCGCUGCGGCGGCGGGGCCGAGCAGAAGAAGUGGAUGCGCGAGUAUGCGGCAAAGGAGGUCACCUUCGGCAUUGGCGCGCACGCCGGCAUGCUGCGGUGCGUUAACGAACUCGCGAACGCCGUCAAGGUCACCAUGUGCGGUGCGAAGGGAGGGGCCGCGGCGGCGGCGCCGUGGUGGAGGCUUCCCGUGGAGGUGCUGCUACUGUGGGCGACGCGCGCAGCGAGGAGCGCGUGGUCGGUGCCCGUCGCCAUCGCGCUGCUCGGGAUCGCCGUGCGGGGCCGCCGGAUGCGGAGGCAGAGCAAGGCCGUGGCGCGCUUGCGGCUUGUCCUUGACGAUAAGGUCAGGCCCUUUGCCCCUUUCAGCCCCAUGCCGCGUCCCAAUCGCUUGAUAUUGCCCCGCUGUGCUUGUGCUUGAUGUGAUCUUUGUGCUUCACGGGAAAAAUGUUGAAAUUCAGUUUGCAAAGAAUUGCAUUGAACCUCUCUGCAAAUUCCUGAACUUGACGAACCAGCUCAACAAGCUGCUAUUUUUAGCAUUCCCCUUCCUUUUUUGUGCCUGCAGGACUAUAGUAGGUUUUGAUGCUAGUUCAGUGAUUUAAUUGUUAUAGCUCGCUGCAAUGUGAUGUUCAGUCAUUAGUGCCUGCAGUACCAAAUGUGAUGUUUGAUGUUUGCAACUUGGUCAUAACUCUGAUUAUCCAAACCAACAUCAACAUUUACUCAUCUGCUAACUUAUGCUUCCUCAAUGGUGGGCAGGUCUAGGUUAUUCAGGCCAAUGACAGGUAUUCCUUCAGGAGCUGCUAGCUAACAAAAUUGUCCAUUGUAGUUCAGUGAUUGCACAAAAUGUGUCCAAAAUCUAGCCUAAUUUAUUUACUGUCAAUAUCCUGUGUUGUAAUUCAGAUGUUUACAAAUUCAGUGCCACACUGAAAUUUUGAUCUACCUUCACCAAGUUCAGUAAAUCUUAACUCUUAAUGUCAGAUUGUUAAUUCUGAAACUGUGAUUUCUGGAGUACAUGUGGAGUAGUAGGAUCUGAAGAUUUUGUGUGUCUAGAUGUCGUUGCUGGAGUACAUUAUCUACCAAAAUCACCGCAAUCAAGAGUACACAAAGUCUAGAUAUGCACCAUGUUCCUGUUAAUUCUGAAACACACCCUGUUAGUUGCUACUCCAUCUAACAGUGUUGCCACCAUGUUCUUGUCCUGUUAAUCAAGAGUGCUACUCCAUCUAACUGUCAUGAGGGAUUAUAUAGGGUGAAUUUGCAAUGCAAUGCCAGUACUACACCUGACGAUUUGCAACGCCAGUGUGAAUUUGCAGUGCAAAAAAAUCGUGAGAAAUUAGAGUUUCUCAGAUAAAUUGUGAGAAAAUUAGAGUUUCUCAGAUAUGCCAGCAAGAAAAUUCCUGUUGUUAAAUUUACUGAAAAUUCAGUUAAUUUGGCUUUACUGUAAACUUUACCGAAACUAAAUUCAGUUAACUCCUUACAAUAAUUUGGAAUUUGACCACAAGGAGCAGUCAACAAGAAUGUUCCAAUGAACCAUUUUUUGGAUGACCCAUAAGACUAACUGAAGAAAACCGUAUGUAUAAAGACUGCAACUUUUUGAUUGAAAAUGUUAUUCUCCUGGUCAAGACUACAACAUUUGAUUGAUUGUUUUGAAAAAUAUACUGCUGUCUUGAGGAAUCUGGUGGAACGUUGAUUUGUUUCCAAAAUAAAUUGAUUGAUUGUGCACUGAAAAUAUUUGGAAAUAUACUCCAGACUUGAGGAAUUGGUGGAAUCAUAUUGAUUCUUUCCAAAAUAAAAUUGAUUGAUUGUGCACUGAAAUUAUUUGGAAAUAUACUCCAAUCUCGAGGAACCUGGUGGAAUCAUAUUGAUUGUUUGUUUCCAAAAAUGGAUUGUUAAUUUGCUUCCAAAAAAUGAUUGAUUGUUUGUUUCCAAACAUCUUCAUGCGUCCAGCAGGUAGGCGGCGGCGGAAUGCCUACGAGAGGCGGGGCCGGUGAUUGGAUUCGUAGCAGCAGCAGCAGAGGCGGGGGCGGGGAAAGAGCGUUUGGCUACCAGCUCGGUGACCGUCGGGUGGGCGAUUCCGUCACUUAGGUGGCCGGCGGAAUCACGCAGGUAGGCGGCGGCGGAAUCGCGCAGGUGGUCGGCGGUUGGUCCUGGCGACGCGCGGUGGAAUCGGGGACCAGCUCGCCUCCGGUGGGCGGCGGAAUCAAUGGGCAGCUGUUCUCGGGUGGGCGGCGCGGGUGUUCGUGGGUGUCUGCGAUCGCCGGAAUCGCCAGCACGGCGGCGGAAUCCGACCGCGCCGGCCCCUGGCGACGGGAGGACGGGCGGAGGGAGGAGAAGGAGACUGGUACCUACUUCAGACAGUUUUCAAAUUUCGAGGGUUGUUUUGCAAAAAGAACAUUACACUGCGCUCUGGACAACUUUUCCCGGACGGAGGGAGUACCUUUGGCAAUUGCUCUGUCCAGCCUAUUAAUCACCGAUAAAGGUUUUGAUGCAAUCUACGGAAUAAGCUCACAUUGUUGAUUGCAGGAUCAGAAGAUGCUUUACACAUAAUUGUGUGAUGCUCAGAGACAUUUUGCACAACGGAAACUUCUUGUGAAGCUUGAUCUUAUUCAGGUGCCUAACUGACUACGGCUUACUAGGUGUUUGUGCUUACCAGUAUGCCAGAAACUUCUUGGAAGCUCGCCGUUUCAGAGCCAUAUGAAUUUUUUAUAGAAACAUGAGCAGAAUAAAAUGGAAACAGCUUCUGGUACAUCUGAGGUAUAAAAUCGGCAAUCUUCGUUGAAUGUUGAGCUUUUUCAUCUAUAACUGUGUUUUCUUUAAAGUUAACUACAGAAGCAUUGCUUUUAUUCACAGGUUUUGCUUUUCUUUCAUGUUUCCUAUCCAACAUAAAAUCUGUGUCACUGGUUGUAGUCAUCGCUUCUAAAGUCAACGCUGCCUUUUCUGUCACAGGUUUACUGGUUUUUCUAUUUUCAUUCCUAUGGCCUGUAUUUUUGUAGCGAGCUUCUUUUAUGCUUGGUUACCAAACUUAUCAAUUAGCAUGCCUAUUUCUCUGCAUUGUAUAGCCUUUAUUAUAUUAUAACUGUAAAGAAUGCAGUUUGAGGAUAAUCUGCCAAUUCUUCUGUAUUGGAUAUGAAAUAAUUAGGCAUUUCUAAAUUGUCUUGAAUUUCCCUGAACUGAAAAAUGGACUGAUCUACUUGCUGCCUGUGCUACUAAACAUAAAACUGAAAAACCUUUUACUGCCAUUUUGUUGGUACUUUCCAUAAUGAACUUGGUUUCUGUUCACACACAUGUACUGCUACAUUAUCCUAUACAUGUUGUCUGAAUUAUGUGAGAGGAUACUGCCAUUUUGUUGGUACUUUCCAUAUUGAAUUCAGUGUAGCAGACAUCAGCAAGUUUGAGAUGUAGCACUCUUCACUUUUGUCGCUGGUUUACAUCUGUCAAUCCUAGAAAUUGAUUAGUGCCUUCUGUUUUGACUCUAGAUUUGAAUAGUGCCCAGGUAGUGUUCAUUAGUAGGUUAAAAGGACGUUCAACUUAUUUAUUAAAUCAUGAUGUACAAAAGGUUUAGCUAAUUGGGACUCCAAGUCUGCAACCAAAGUAGAAAUAAGGCCAUGGAGCAAGAGUUCCGUUGGGCAUCCUUUGCAUUUCUCUUGUCAUGUUCCAUGCUUCACAACAUGUGGGUAAACAUAUCAGUACACACGCACACUGCAGUUUGUAAUGUCAUUUAAUAGGGGAUGCAUUAGGGUACUUUAUUUCCAUUAUAAACUAAUAAUAAUUAAGAGCUUAGUAAGGUAACAAUAAUCUACUCCCUCCGUUCUAAAUUACUUGUCGCAGAAAUGGAUGUAUCUAGAACUAAAAUACAUCUAGAUACAUCCAUUUCUGCGACGAGCAAUUCGGAACGGAGGAAGUAGGAUAUACAGUAGAAUAUUAGAUGUGCUUGUAUAAGUAGAAUGCAGAGUUUAGAAAUGAACUGAAAUCUUAGAGCAGGAAGUGGUAGGCUUAAUUUCAUUUAGAAAAAUAGGUGUACUGCAGCAUCAUAUAUUAAGGUAAUCCCUCAGCCAAAACAAAUUGGAGGGGAAGAUCGUCAAGUUAGCGACCCAGUUUUCAUUCUGUGGGCUUUCCUUUCUUCAAAGAAAGCUCCAGCCCGAGCAAGGGCAUAUCAGCUACAAUAUCGAUCAGUUGGUUGAUUAUGUCGCCCAUUUUGUAAAUUCAACUUAGCAAUAAAGCAUUGACAAGUGUGUUCACUUCUCUCCAUCCCAAACAAAAUAUCAUCAUCUGGUUCUUUAAUCUGUUUUUAAUCCUUAUAUCAGUCUGCGACGAUGGAACCAAUUUUUCACCCAAUCUGAACUGGUUGUUUUACCUCUUCUUUUUUACUCUCCAUAAAUGUACAGCUUUAUAAAAGUUGUUGUAUUGCUUGGGGCCAAUUUACUUAUAUUAUGCCCAACUUUAGCUCAUGAACUGCAUGGCGAAACCUAAUUCUGGUUGGUCUUCUGCCACUUGUUUUAUGGCUGUCUAGGCAACGGAUGGCAUUCUUCUUUGUUGCCAAUUGUGAAUUAUUUUGUAGAAGGCCUCUCAGCAGCUACCUAUGCUUUGCGAGGUUCUGACAGUAUGUAGCUAGCAUGUAUGGUUUUUACAUACUUCUGCAUAGGUUGAGAUGCAUCACAUGAUCUUCUCUUGAUUGAUGGGUAUUGGAGAGUCCUUUCUUUGCCACAAAGGGCAGGAGCUAUGCCAUUCAACUCAAAAGGACAAAGAGUUCAUCACAAGGGGGUGGUCUCUAGGAUAUUUACACAAAAGAGGAAAUUUCUUUUUGUAUAGAACCGAAUUAUACUAUCUAAUUGAGUAAAUUAUAUCAUGUAUUAAGUACAUUUUAUUGUGUCACCAAGUUUACUACUACUCAGACUUUCUAAUUGCAGGCUCAACUAUUUGGACCCACUGAUCUGAUUUUGUUUGGUUUGUGUAUGUGUAUACUGAUGUCUGG